ACUCAGGAAGUGAUGGUUCGCAUUAA
rnacentral:piRNA from 1 species